rnacentral:rRNA from 1 species
UACGAGGGGUCCUAGCGUUGUUCGGAAUCAUUGGGCGUAAAGGGUGUGUAGGUGGCUAUAUAAGUCAGGUGUGAAAUCCCCGGGCUCAACCCGGGAAGUGCAUUUGAUACUGUGUAGCUUGAGUAUGGGAGAGGAUAGUGGAAUUCCUGGUGUAGUGGUGAAAUACGUAGAUAUCAGGAGGAACACCGGUGGCGAAGGCGGCUAUCUGGCCACAUACUGACACUGAAACACGAAAGCAUGGGGAGCAAACAGG